GACGGGGGGGGCAAGUGUUCUUCGGAAUGACUGGGCGUAAAGGGCACGUAGGCGGUGAAUCGGGUUGAAAGUGAAAGUCGCCAAAAAGUGGCGGAAUGCUCUCGAAACCAAUUCACUUGAGUGAGACAGAGGAGAGUGGAAUUUCGUGUGUAGGGGUGAAAUGCGUAGAUAUCGGGAGGAACACCUGUGGCGAAAGCGGCUCACUGGACCAUAACUGACGCUGAUGCACGAAAGCUGGGGGAGCAAACAGG
rnacentral:rRNA from 1 species